GCCCAGGUGGCUCAGUCGGUUAAGCGCCUGACUUCGGCUCAGGUCGUGAUCUCAGGGUUUGUGGGUUCGAGCCCCGCGUCGGGCU
rnacentral:tRNA from 1 species